rnacentral:lncRNA from 1 species
UCUGAUUGUUGCCAAUUAAAAAUUCAAAGGGGGAAAAGGAAAAUCGGGAUCAAAAUGGAAAAAAAUCCGAAUUUUUAGGAAUUUUUUUGGGAUUUUUUUUGGGAAUUUUUUGGGAUUUUAAAAAAAAUUUUUAUUUUAAUUUUUGGGGAUUUUUGGGGAAUUUUUGGGGAAAUUUUUAGGGACUUUUUUGGGAUUUUUUGGGAAUUUUUUGGAAAUACUUUGGGAUUUUUUGGGAAUUUUUUUGGGAUUUUUUGGGGAAUUUUUUUGGGAUUUUUUUGGGAUUUUUUAGGGAUUUUUUGGGAUUUUUUUGGGAUUUUUGGAGGAUUU